GACGUAGGGGGCCAGCGUUGUUCGGAAUUACUGGGUGUAAAGGGUUCGUAGGCGGUGUAGCAAGUCGGGAGUGAAAUCUCUGGGCUUAACCCAGAGGCUGCUUCCGAAACUGCUGUGCUUGAGUGUGGGAGAGGCGCGUGGAAUUGCAGGUGUAGCGGUGAAAUGCGUAGAUAUCUGGAGGAACACCGGUGGCGAAGGCGGCAUCCUGGACCGGUAUUGACGCUGAGGAGCGAAAGCCAGGGGAGCAAACGGG
rnacentral:rRNA from 1 species